rnacentral:rRNA from 1 species
CCCUGUCUCUGGGAUAACCAUUGGAAACGGUGGCUAAUACCGGAUAUGACCUCCUACUGCAUGGUGGGUGGUGGAAAAGUCCGCUGGACAGGGAUGAGCUCGCGGCCUAUCAGCUUGUUGGUGGGGUAAUGGCCUACCAAGGCGACGACGGGUAGCCGGCCUGAGAGGGUGACCGGCCACACUGGGACUGAGACACGGCCCAGACUCCUACGGGAGGCAGCAGUGGGGAAUAUUGGACAAUGGGCGAAAGCCUGAUCCAGCAACGCCGCGUGAGGGAUGACGGCCUUCGGGUUGUAAACCUCUUUCAGUAGUGACGAAGCGCAAGUGACGGUAGCUACAGAAGAAGGACCGGCCAACUACGUGCCAGCAGCCGCGGUAAUACGUAGGGUCCGAGCGUUGUCCGGAAUUAUUGGGCGUAAAGGGCUCGUAGGCGGUUUGUCACGUCGGGAGUGAAAACUCAGGGCUUAACCCUGAGCGUGCUUCCGAUACGGGCUGACUAGAGGGAUGCAGGGGAGAACGGAAUUCCUGGUGUAGCGGUGGAAUGCGCAGAUAUCAGGAGGAACACCGGUGGCGAAGGCGGUUCUCUGGGCAUUUCCUGACGCUGAGGAGCGAAAGCAUGGGGAGCGAACAGGAUUAGAUACCCUGGUAGUCCAUGCCGUAAACGUUGGGCGCUAGGUGUGGGGACCUUCCACGGUUUCCGUGCCGCAGCUAACGCAUUAAGC